CAUUUCUUGGGAGAACUGGAGAUUGACCUCUUUAGUUUGCAGGUAUAUAAACUGGUGCUGGACUCUGGCCUGAGGACAUCUGAAGUCAGGAACUGGCUGGAGCUUCCACUUUCUACAGGAAAGAAGGAAGGGAUGAUUUCUGAGCUCACAAACUAUACUCAGAACGUCUCCUGGACAAGAGUGGAGAUGGUGGUCCUUCUAUGUUGCCCAGGUUGGUCUUGAGUUCCUGGCUUCAAGUGAUCUUCCUGCCUCAGCCUCUCAGAGUGUUUGUGGUAUCUAGAUGAGAUGCAUGUGACAACUGGACACUGGGCAUGAUGAAUGCCUUAGGAAACCUCUGGAGGGUACCUACUUUGUGGUCAUAAACCACUGUGCCCAUGUGGAAAACAUUACAAUCC
rnacentral:lncRNA from 13 species